UACGUAGGGUGCGAGCGUUGUCCGGAAUUAUUGGGCGUAAAGAGCUCGUAGGCGGUGUGUCACGUCGGCCGUGAAAACCUGCAGCUUAACUGUGGGCGUGCGGUCGAUACGGGCAUCACUGGAGUUCGGCAGGGGAGACUGGAAUUCCUGGUGUAGCGGUGAAAUGCGCAGAUAUCAGGAGGAACAACGGUGGCGAAGGCGGGUCUCUGGGCCGAUACUGACGCUGAGGAGCGAAAGCGUGGGGAGCAAACAGG
rnacentral:rRNA from 1 species